GACAGAGGGUGCAAACGUUGUUCGGAAUUACUGGGCGUAAAGCGUGUGUAGGCGGUCCGAUAAGUCGGGUGUGAAAGCCCUGGGCUCAACCCAGGAAGUGCACUCGAAACUGCCGGGCUAGAGUAUCGGAGAGGUUGGUGGAAUUCUCGGUGUAGAGGUGAAAUUCGUAGAUAUCGGGAGGAACACCGGCGGCGAAGGCGGCCAACUGGACGAAUACUGACGCUGAGACACGAAAGCGUGGGGAGCAAACAGG
rnacentral:rRNA from 1 species